AUGUCCUUGCUUUGACAUCACAUAUACAGAGAAGAUGAGCAUGGCCUCUGAGCAAGGAUGAUAUGCAAAUUUGUGAAGAAAAAAAAAAAAGA
rnacentral:snRNA from 1 species